rnacentral:rRNA from 1 species
AACGAACGCUGGCGGCAUGCCUAACACAUGCAAGUCGAACGAGACCUUCGGGUCUAGUGGCGCACGGGUGCGUAACGCGUGGGAAUCUGCCCUUGGGUUCGGAAUAACAGUUGGAAACGACUGCUAAUACCGGAUGAUGACGUAAGCCCAAAGAUUUAUCGCCCAAGGAUGAGCCAGCGUAGGAUUAGCUAGUUGGUGAGGUAAAGGCUCACCAAGGCGACGAUCCUUAGCUGGUCUGAGAGGAUGAUCAGCCACACUGGGACUGAGACACGGCCCAGACUCCUACGGGAUGCAGCAGUGGGGGAUAGUGGACAGUGGGCGAAAGCCUGAUCCAGCAAUGCCGCGUGAGUGAUGAAGUCCGUAGGGUUGUAAAGCUCUUUUACCCGGGAUGAUAAUGACAGUACCGGGAGAAUAAGCUCCGGCUAACUCCGUG